rnacentral:misc_RNA from 1 species
UGUGGGAGGGGGCUUGCUCCCGAUAGCGGUGUGUCAGGUUCAGAAACCGUGACUGACACACCGCCAUCGGGAGCAAGCCCCCUCCCACA